rnacentral:lncRNA from 1 species
UCAGCCUCCCGAGUGGCUGGGACUACAGGCGCCCGCCACCACGCCCGGCUAAUUUUUUGUAUUUUUAGUAGAGACAGGGUUUCACCGUGUUGGCCAGGAUGGUCUCGAUCUCCUGACCUUGUGAUCCACCCACCUCAGCCUCCCAAAGUCCUGGGAUUACAGGAGUGAGCCACCGCACCCAGCCAGCAAAUAGCAUCUUUUAGAAAGCAUUAUUGUAGACAAUACUGGAAUAAGAUGACAAAAUAGGAAAUUACUUUUAUGAAAUCAACCACAAUUUUAGCUUAAAAGGUC